rnacentral:rRNA from 1 species
ACGUAGGGUGCAGGCGUUAAUCGGAAUUACUGGGCGUAAAGCGUGCGUAGGCGGUUUGUUAAGACAGGUGUGAAGUCCCCGGGCUUAACCUGGGAACUGCGCUUGUUACUGGCAGACUUGAGUGUGGCAGAGGGGGGUGGAAUUCCACGUGUAGCAGUGAAAUGCGUAGAUAUGUGGAGGAACACCAAUGGCGAAGGCAGCCCCCUGGGUCAACACUGACGCUCAUGCACGAAAGCGUGGGGAGCAAACAGGA